UACGGAGGGAGCUAGCGUUGUUCGGAUAUACUGGGCGUAAAGCGCACGUAGGCGGCGCAGCAAGUCAGGGGUGAAAUCCCGGAGCUCAACUCCGGAACUGCCUUUGAAACUGCAGUGCUAGAAUCCUGGAGAGGCGAGUGGAAUUCCGAGUGUAGAGGUGAAAUUCGUAGAUAUUCGGAAGAACACCAGUGGCGAAGGCGACUCGCUGGACAGGUAUUGACGCUGAGGUGCGAAAAGCGUGGGGAGCAAACAGG
rnacentral:rRNA from 1 species